rnacentral:rRNA from 1 species
UACGAAGGGUGCAAACGUUGCUCGGAAUUAUUGGGCGUAAAGCGCACGUAGGCGGCUUAGCAAGUCGGACGUGAAAUCCCUCGGCUCAACCAAGGAAGUGCUUUCGAAACUGCUGAGCUUGAGUACGAAAGAGGAUCGCGGAAUUCCCGGUGUAGAGGUGAAAUUCGUAGAUAUCGGGAGGAACACCAGUGGCGAAGGCGGCGAUCUGGGUCGAUACUGACGCUGAGGUGCGAAAGCGUGGGGAGCAAACAGG